GGUGGUUCUCAGGUGACGCACCCCAGAAUCGGGCUCCCUCCUCUCUGGUUCUGGGGUGCGUCACCUGAGAAUCACA
rfam:Myotis davidii contig212081, whole genome shotgun sequence.